rnacentral:rRNA from 1 species
UACGAAGGGGGCUAGCGUUGCUCGGAAUCACUGGGCGUAAAGCGCACGUAGGCGGAUCUUUAAGUCAGGGGUGAAAUCCUGGAGCUCAACUCCAGAACUGCCUUUGAUACUGGGGAUCUCGAGUCCGGAAGAGGUGAGUGGAACUCCGAGUGUAGAGGUGAAAUUCGUAGAUAUUAGGAAGAACACCAGUGGCGAAGGCGGCUCACUGGCCCGGUACUGACGCUGAGGCGCGAAAGCGUGGGGAGCAAACAGG